UACGAAGGGGGCUAGCGUUGUUCGGAAUUACUGGGCGUAAAGCGCGCGCAGGCGGCCUUUCAAGUCAGGGGUGAAAGCCCGGAGCUCAACUCCGGAAUUGCCUUUGAAACUGUCAGGCUUGAGUACGGGAGAGGUGAGUGGAAUUCCCAGUGUAGAGGUGAAAUUCGUAGAUAUUCGCAAGAACACCAGUGGCGAAGGCGGCUCACUGGCCCGGUACUGACGCUGAGGUGCGAAAGCGUGGGGAGCAAACAGG
rnacentral:rRNA from 1 species